UUUAAAUGAUGAAAUCGUACGCUUGGCAUCUGAAAAAUUUGCUAAUUUUGAAGAUACCUUUUUUAACCAGUUAUCCCUAUCUGAUAUAAAAUAAAU
rnacentral:snoRNA from 1 species